rnacentral:rRNA from 1 species
UAGGGAAGCUUCGGCAAUGGACGAAAGUCUGACCGAGCAACGCCGCGUGAGUGAAGAAGGUUUUCGGAUCGUAAAACUCUGUUGUUAGAGAAGAACAAGGACGUUAGUAACUGAACGUCCCCUGACGGUAUCUAACCAGAAAGCCACGGCUAACUACGUGCCAGCAGCCGCGGUAAUACGUAGGUGGCAAGCGUUGUCCGGAUUUAUUGGGCGUAAAGCGAGCGCAGGCGGUUUCUUAAGUCUGAUGUGAAAGCCCCCGGCUCAACCGGGGAGGGUCAUUGGAAACUGGGAGACUUGAGUGCAGACGAGGAGAGUGGAAUUCCAUGUGUAGCGGUGAAAUGCGUAGAUAUAUGGAGGAACACCAGUGGCUAAGGCGGCUCUCUGGUCUGUAACUGACGCUGAGGCUCGAAAGCGUGGGGAGCAAACAGG